UGCUUUCCUUGCACGCGGGUGCCGCUCCU
rnacentral:piRNA from 1 species